CUCUGUUAGAACCACAAUCAAACAAGGCUCAGGCAAUCCUCGCAGCUGCUCUCCAAAUGUCAGCGCCAGCCGUCAACACAGCUUGAAAGCCACCCAGCUGAAGGACUUUGUGCUGUACCUUCUCGCCCACAUUUUCCCCGAGCACUCCCAGGAACCUGGCAACAGGCACUGAGCGGAUGGCUGUGUGAGGGGUCCCUGAUGCUAACUGCCCGCAUCCCGUGCAGCUGCCCUUCUUCGCCUCAGUUCCUUUCACUCCUCAUUAUUCUGUGGCUGCUUCUGUGCUCUCCUGCUCGCACAAGGUGCGUAUCUGAGAGCCAGGGAACUUUCUUUGCCUCUGGUCUUCUUUCAUGAGAAUUUGUACUACCUGCACCAUGGAACCUGGAGCCCGGAGUACAAGGAAGAACCUGGAGUGGAAUCGGACAACUAAACAGGACUCUCCUGCCAUGUAGCUGUGUGUCUGGUAUCAGCUUAGGUGUCACCUCUUCCAGGCAGACUUCUGGAAUGUCCUUCCAAAUGCCUCUACUAGACCUCAUUGGAAUACAGCGCUUUUAUUUGACAGAGCACUUACUACAUUGAGGACCCCAAUGCUGCUGACUUUUGCACGCAGCCAUGACUUUUGGGAGAUGUGAGCACCUUCCUAGAUUUGGAGGCUGAAUCUUCAUUAGUCUGUAGGACGAAGGGAUGAGAAGGGAAGUCUGGUGGGAAUGCCUCUGGGCAGGUUUACCUCCCUCAGGGACAUCCCUUUCUUCCUCGGAAUAUUGUCAUCAGCAAGAGAUACUCUGAACUGUGUGGCUGCCAUCUGGGGACCACAAGGAGCAUCUGCCUGAGAAGACAAACGCACGCUGAUCUUCACAGGUGAAAGACGGCAAGGAGCUGGGUUUGACACAUUCGUUGGCUGCCCUUCCAAUGGCUGGCUAUUUUUUGAAAAAAUAAAUGCCUUUACCAGCUAAGUCACUUUGGCUUUUUAAUGGAUAUUUUUAUUAAGUUUUUAGAGAGAGAGGGAGGGGGAGAGAGAGAGACAUGGAUUGGUUGCAACCUGGGCAUAGGCCCUGACUGGGAAUUGAACUGGCGACCUUUUGGUGCACGGGAUGACGCUCGACCAACUGAGCCACACUGGCCAGGGCACUUUGGUGUUAUUUUUAAAAUUUUGUUUAUUUGCUUACUUAUUUGUUUGGCGAGGCACUUAUGUGGUGUCUUUCCAUAUACUCAGUGUCCUUCUUUUCUUGGAAAACUGUUCAUUCAUCAAGAGUCACUUAAUUUGGUUCCAUUAGCAUUUCCUGCAUAUGUUUAUUACAGAACUCAUCACACUUGGCUGGUUCUGGUCCUAUUUACUCUAGUGCUCUCAGUGACCAGAGGCAGAUUUUUGUUCACGACUCUAUGUACUUGUGGGAUUAAAUGAUUCUAUGUGGCAGAUUCUAUCACACAAGGCAGUGCUUUUCAGCUGCCAUGCUGCAAGAAUUUUUAAAACAUGCAAUACCUGACUAUUUAGUCAGGGCACUGACCUCUUUUACCUUAAAAUGUCAAAUAAAACAACGACAACAGCCAACACAACAAUAGCCAUCUGGUGUGAGUGAUUAAAAAUUAUACGUUUUUGGGGGGUCAGAUUGGCAAAAAUAUAACAUAUUUGUUGGUGUGCUGCAGAAUUUUAGUAAUUAGUUCAUGUGAGGCGUGAGAUGAAAAAGGUUGAAAAGCACUGACCCAAGAGAAUGAAAGCGGUCUGGGGAAAUUGGGACCGAGCUAGUGGGGAAGAGCAGGGUGGCAGCACAUCUCUGAUUGCCGAUGGCAAGAAAGACUGGAGAAAUGUGACCUCCUCACAGCUGUGCCAGGGCUGCCUCUGAACACUACAGAGGCAACACGUGUGAAAGCCCCUUGUAGACUGUGCAGAUGUGACAGUCGGACCGGCCCCAGCAGUAGCAGUGCUUGUUGUUUCUUUUUCCGGAGCCAGCUGAGUCAUUUUUCCAAACCACAGUUCUUCCGGGAGCAGCAUCAAUUGACUUGGCCUUUGGUUGAUAUUGAGUUGGGACUCUGGGAAUACUACAAACUAUUUUCCAAAAUUUGCAUAAAAUUGCAAAUUUUAGGCUAACUGGGAGGGGGAAAGAUGCUGUAAAAAUUAAUUGGACCAAAGGGAAUGGUCUCUAAUCAAAUUGCCAACUCCCGCUCCCAACUGGCCCCAAAACACUCAUCAUAUUUGAUAUGAAAGUAAUCUGAUGACAAAUAGGUGCAUUAAAAGGAACCAAUUCUUCCAAUAUAGUUGAGGAUGCUGCUACGUAGAUUUUAAAAGUGACUGGAGUCAAACGGAACUCGAAGAGGAGACAGAAAAGAAUUUUUAAGUGGUGCAUAAAUAGAACGGAUCAUUUUGGUGGUUUGGAGAAAAUGGGUAGGACACUGGGACUGGAGGGUCUAAUGUUAGCACAGUAAGUGCCAGUUAUCAGAGGUCUCUAUUUUCUUGAACAGAAGCGUGCUCCAGUAUCUGG